GACGGAGGGUGCAAGCGUUGUUCGGAAUUACUGGGCGUAAAGCGCGUGUAGGCGGCUAGCUAAGUCUGAUGUGAAAGCCCGGGGCUCACCCCCGGAAGUGCAUUGGAAACUGGCGAGCUCGAGUCCCGGAGAGGAGGGUGGAAUUCCUGGUGUAGCGGUGAAAUGCGUAGAUAUCCGGAGGAACACCGGUGGCGAAGGCGGCUUCCUGGACCGACACUGACGCUGAGGCGCGAAAGCUAGGGGAGCAAACGGG
rnacentral:rRNA from 1 species